rnacentral:pre_miRNA from 1 species
AUCACCUGGGCAUCUUGUUAAAAUGCAGACUCUGUUUUAGUAUGUCUGGAGCUGGACCUGAUAUUCUGCAUUUCUAACAAACUCCCAGAUGGUGCUGA